AAUAGAUUUUCAUUUUCAGGAAAAUGAGGGAAAAGACAGACCAUCAAAAAUACAAGUUCUUGGAGUUAGUCUACAUGCUUAAGCUGAUAUUUUCAAAAAAUAAGGAAAAAACAGAUCAGAUGAAUUUCUUGUUCGUUACUCUAUACGCGUAAAUUAUUAAAAAACAAAGGAAAAAACAGAACUUCAAAAUAUUAAUUCAUCCAAAUUUGGAGGCUCUUCUACAAACAUAUACCUAAAUUAUUGGAAAAAAAGAAAAGAAAAUUGUACAUCAAAUAGCUGCACAAGUAAAGAUGCAUUUUAUGCAUACAUCAUGUGUCCAUUCUGAUUUGAUGUGAAUAGAUGCUUGGAAUUGGUGGUUAAUCUGUGUGCUUAAGCUGGAAUUAUCAAAAUGCAAGG